rnacentral:sRNA from 1 species
CAUGACCUUCUCUACUUCUCCUUCAUCAUCUUCUUCA